rnacentral:rRNA from 1 species
GCUUUUUAUAUUAUUAUAAAAUUUUACUAAAAUAUUAUCUGUUUUAGUUUUAAAAAUUUAGUUUUAUUAUAGUUUAUGAUUACCGUGAGGGAAAUAUGAAAUAAUUUGAAAUAUUAAAGUCUUUAAAAGAAAAAUUAAUUUUUUGUACCUUGGGUAUCAGGGUUUCUUUAUUAUUUUUUAUGUAUUUAAUUAUCCCGAAUUAUUAGGAGCUAGUAAAAAAUUUAUUUUAAUGUGGAAUAAUUAUUUAUAAUUUUUUACUUGAAAUGAAAUGUUAUUCGUCUUUUAAGAUAUCUGGUUCUUUAAGAAAAAAAUUUAAUUUUGCUGAUUUUUCUAUAACCAUUACUGGUUUUUGGAUUAAAUUUAGUAAUAAAGCAAGGGACAAGCUUUGUUUUAAAUUUCUAUAUUAUUUAAAUUUUACUGGUUCUGUAGGAUUAAAAAUUUUCUUUAUUUAUAUUUUGUUAUAAUUAUUCUAGUUUUUUUAAUAUUUAUUUAAUUUUAGGUUAUUUAUUAAAGAUUUUGAUUAAACUUUUUGUUUAAGUUAUAAUGAUAAAAUUAGUAAAUUUUUUUGUAUUUUUAUAUUUAAUUUUUAGUUUAUUUUAAGGAACUAGGCAAAAUAUUUUUUCACCUGUUUAAUAAAAACAUGUCCUUUUGAUUAAUAAUUUAAGGUCUGGUCUGCCCAAUGAUGAAUUAAAUGGCCGCGAUACUCUGAUCGUGCGAAGGUAGCAUAAUCAUUAGUUUCUUAAUUAGGAGCUGGAAUGAAGGAUUGAAUGAGAGAAAUACUGUCUCAAGAUAAAAUAUUGAAAUUUAUAUUUAAGUAAAAAAGCUUAAAUUUUUUUAAUAGACGAGAAGACCCUGUAGAGUUUUAUAUUUCUUAUUUUUUAGUUUUUAAAGUAUUUAGCUACUAAAUUUUAUAUGAAAUAUUUGGUUGGGGUGACAGAAAAAUUUUUUAACUUUUUCUUAUUUUUAUAUUAAUUAAUAGGUUUUUGAUUUGUUUUUGACAACUAAAAGAUUAAAUUACCUCAGGGAUAACAGCGUUAUUUUUCUUAAGAGUUCUAAUCGAAAGAAGAGUUUGCGACCUCGAUGUUGGAUUAAAAUAUAUUUUUGGUGUAGAAGCUAAAGUAGUUAGUCUGUUCGACUAUUAAAAUUUUACAUGAUCUGAGUUUAAACCGGCGUGAGCCAGGUUGGUUUCUAUCUUUAAUAAUUUAACAUAUUUUAGUACGAAAGGACCAAAUAUGUGCUAAAUUAGUGUUAAUUUGAAUUUCUGU